CAAAUCCGCUCGCCUCGAGUUGCCCCUUCCAAGCAAAUCUGGUCGCAAUUGCUAGUCAUCGACGUCCUCCGAGCGGCGUGUGGAUGGCCACAUAUUGUUGUUUUUUGCUCGUCUACGGUGAAGCCUACAUUGAUGAUUGUUAAUGGUGAAGUCGGAGUCGCCCUCGCAGAGGUGUGAUGACGAUGACGCCGGAUUACAACCUUGAUGAAGCUCUUUCCCUUGACGGCGUGUGUGCGUUUUUGUGUAGGUUUUCAGGUCGCCUUGUGUGCCUUGUUGUGGGCGCAUUGUGACGGUUUUAGCCCGAUUUUCCGAUUAUUAACCGGGCAAUUCUCUUCGACCUUUUUUAAUGAAAUCGAUACCUAAGGGACCGCGUUUCAAAAAAUAAAGUGGUAAAGCUUUCUAGACUCCGUAAUCAUUUCAGUUGGUCACGGCAUGCUACUCUGAUUUUAGCAUCCCAUUAUCUAAAACAUUUUAUAGAUGGCACAUUUGUGAAAUCAGAUGAUAAUGUUGAGUGAGAGCAAUUUGAACAGAAUGAGAACCGUUGUUUUGGCGUGGUUGUUGGGGGUCAAGUUGACUCCUUUCAUGCCAAUUUUGCCNGCCUUGUGACGGUUUUAGCCCGAUUUUUCGAUUAUUAACCGGGCAAUUCUCUUCGACUUUUUUUUAAUGAGAUCGAUACCUAAGGAACCGUGUUUUAAAAAAUAAAGUGGUAAAGCUUUUUGGAGUCGGUAAUCAUUUCAGUUGGUCACGGCAUGCUACUCUGAUUUUAGCAUCCCAUUAUCUAAAACAUUUUAUAGAUGGCACAUUUGUGAAAUCAGAUGAUAAUGUUGAGUGAGAGCAAUUUGAACAGAAUGAGAACCGUUGUUUUGGCGUGGUUGUUGGGGGUCAAGUUGACUCCUUUCAUGCCAAUUUUGCCACCCGAGACACCGCCUUUGAGCUACUGCUCAACUCUAUGUUCAUUUCUACAUGAGAGAGUAGGAAUAACAGAUCAAGGGCAUACAAGUCUGUUACUACUAUCUUACACUCAAUAACUCGUGCUCUUGUUAAUUUCAUUUGGGGAUUCCUCUCAAGCAUUGAAUGCGCUCGUCCGCCAAUUGGCUGAGCAUACAAUUUGUAUGACCGGUCUAGUUGUAUACAUAUGACUUUUCUGGUCUAGAUGAUGAACUUGGUUAGGUUCAUCUAAGUCGUAUGACAUAUAGCUGUAGUAGUAAUCAUAGUAGUAUAAAUACUAAGCACUUGUCCACAUUGCACCCAUUCUCAACUCUACUGCCACUGAGAAUUUAUAAGUUGAUGCAUAUAUUUCUUCAUAUUUUAUAGUGUAUGAGAUAUUGGAGUACACCAAAAGGUAGAAGGUUAAAGGUGUGCGGUGGCGCGCAGUCUGUGCACCAUAUGUUGGUGAAUCAUAGUCUGAAUAGGCUAGGUACAAUUGCAUCCAUCCUAGGACAACACGAAUGAAGAAUUUAGUGUUAGAUAGCAAAGGCAGCUGAUAGCAAGUCAAAUACACACCACACUACCACACGUGCAAUGUGUCCUCUAUUUACCAGGAUUCCGGUGCUGCACCGAUGAUUCCUGGCCGCAUCCAAGCGCGGCGGAGUGCCAUCGGUGUGCUGUCCCGUGUCAUGAAGCGCCCACACAAUCUGCAGUUCACCUAUACGAUUAUAGCCAUAUACGAUCAUACCCGUGCAUGACAAAGUUAGGUAGGCUCAUCAAAGCGUUAUGUCUGUUCAAGCUAUUGUAAUUAGUAUAAAUAGUAAGCACUUCAUGUGAUUUAACCCAUUCUAACUCUUGCCACUGUUGUUGAGAACAAUAAAUAAAGUGUACACAUAUGUUUCCUUUGCGUAUUAUAUAGAGUAUGCUUGAGAUAUUGGAGUACAACAAAAUAUAAUUUCUGUUGGGAAGUAGCCUGCUAAGUUGUUAAUUUGUUGAAGGGAGUUUUCUUCGGUGGUUGUAAGAGGAUUGUCGUGAAGCAGUGUUUUUUUUCUUUUCUUUUGAAAAUGGCAGGAUUCUUGCAUUCAGGCCAAUCACGUUCUAAUAGAUCCAAAUGAAAAUUGAUUCGUGCUCGUUUGAUCCAGGGAUACCGGCCGGUGCCCAAACGGGAGUGUUGACUUGCAAUUUGGAGUUCGAUCAAAAUAUGUUUUCAGCAUGUUCCAGCCGUGUUUUUGUUUUGGAAUCCGGUGAUGUACAUGUUAUCAUCAGCCGUUGCUAGCUGUCAUGGUUCGCUAAUCAGAUAUUUUAAAGAUUUUACUCUAGACUAGAUACGAAACUAAGUAAAUGAAUCUAAAUUUUAAAAUAUGACUACAUACAUCCGUAUGUAGUUUAUAGUAAAAUUUCUAAAAGGUCUUACAUUUACUAUUUAGGAACAGAGGAAGUAUAUAUACUCUAUUCCAACAAAUCUCAGUGUGAUUUAUUGUUCUUCUUUGACCAAUGUGCGCUAGCAUUAUCCAUUUGUUAGGAUUUUUUGACAUUUUAAAAUUUAUUUUCCAUAGGCAGGAGCACGUCCUCCUGGGAGCCGAAUUGCAUCUCCGCAAUUAGUUGUAUUUAUAUCUUUGCUGAUAGUAUUAUUUGCAAUAAGCUGUAGUACUUACUUACAGAGUCGAUAUGGAACUGCGUAUUGCAAACUCCUGUAACUAAUACUGUAAGUAUUGUCAGGGCCGGGCCGGCAAAAUCCGGGUCCUGUGCGGAACGAAAAAAUGGGGCCCUAUCUCAUAAAAAUAUGAACUAACAAGCAAUUAUAAUGUAUAUAUGUCUCAUAGAAAAAAUUAUAAUGUAUAUAAUAUAAUAUCUUACAUAAAAAAUGGACAUAUAAAAAAGUCAUACCUAUGCAACUUUCGAUUGCUAUUUAUUUGAACAUCCUCAUUCUUGCAGUAUUCUUUGAAAUAAAAUCUUCAAUGAUAUCCUCGUCAUCAACCUUCUCCAAGACUUCACCCUCAAGUGCUAUUGUGGCCAAAUCAUUGAGUCUUUGUUGUGUCAUAGUAGUACGCAUAUAGGACUUCAAUAGUUUCAAUUUGAAAAACUUCUUUCUGCCAAUGCAACUGUCACAGGAAUGGUCAACAGAACUCUAUAUGCAAUACUUGCAUUGAGAAAACAAUCAUGCCGCUUCAAAAAAUUCAGAAUUUCAACAGGUCCGAUAUUUUCUUUUGGCAUGAAAUCUUGAAGAAACUUCAACUCAACAAAUAGUUCAUUGGCAUCAAUAUCAGAUUGUUUAUCCUUGAUAAGGGAAGCCUCAAUAUUAACACAAGAAGAUUUCAAACUAUCCUUAUCCAAUGAACGCAAUGUUUCAGAGGUAAAUAAGAAACCAAAUAUUUUCUGGUAACCUUCAUAUUGCUCAAAUCUCCUUGUGAGUGAGGAAAUUGCUUGAUCAACAACACGUAUGAAAUAGUUGACUCUAAAUGAUUCCUCUCCAGACUGUGUGGCAAUAUUUGUGUCGUCUGGGUUCUCAUCAAACUGUUUCUUUCUUUUAAUUUCUCUUCUUUUACGAAAUGUUGCAUCAAUAUUCAUCUCAAGUGCAAUUUCUUUGGUAUCUCCAAUGCUUCUAAGAAACCAGUUUCUCUGUACCCCUCAAAGAAAGAAAUAAGCCCUUUCACUUUCUCAAUUGCAACAUUAAUAAGCAUAUCCUUUUUUUGCAAGUUCUUGCUUAUUAAAUUAAUAGCAGACAAUACCUCAUACCAAAUGACUAUUGCCAGGAUAAAUUCAUACUCUCCAAGUUCAUUGUUUGCCAAACCUAGAGCCUCACUGCUUGCCUUUGGAUCACUAUUAGUUUCAGAUACCUGAAAUUAAAAGAAAGUUCAUAAAUGUUACGGCUAGAUCUAGUCAAAGGCUGAAUGAAUUACAUCAUUAUCAAUAUGAACAUAUUGGUUACCUGAAGUAGAGCCUCCCGAAUGUCUGAACAUUGAAAUCUAAUUGGUUUAACACUUUCAACACGACUCUCCCAACGCGUAGCUGACACACACUUGAGAGUCAAUCCUGAUAUGUUUUCUUUCAAAAUAUGCCAGUUCUUAGUAGAAUUUGCAAAAGUUGUAUAGAUGAGUUGGAUGAUCCCAAAAAAGUCUUUUGCUCUACCACAAGUCUUGGCCAUAUCACAAAGUGUUAAAUUAAGGCUAUGACAACCACAAGCAGAAUAAAAAGCUCUAGGAUUUACAUCCAAAAGUUUUCUUUAUACCCCUUGAUGCGUUCCUUUCAUAUUUGAUCCAUUAACAUAACCUUGUCCUCGCACAUCAUUUAUAUCAAGAUCAAGAAGUUUUAGCUCAUUCUGUAGCACCUCAAAAAGUCCUUGGCCAGUUGUAUCAUUUACAUCAAGAAAUUCUAGAAAGGACUCUUCUAUGCAAACUUGACUUGAAGAUGAAUCCACAUAUCUUAUAAUUAAAGACACUUGCUCUUGGUGACUUGCAUCAAGGGUACAAUCAAGUAUGACAGAGAAAUACUUUGCGCUCUUUAUUUUCUUGAUAAUUUCAGACCUAAUACAAGAAGCAAGCAAGUGUAGCAAUUCAUUCUGAAUAUUAUGAUCAAGAUAAUGAGCAUGAGUUUCUUCAUUUGUAAUACGACGAACAUGCUCCUGAAUAAUGGGGUCAAAUUCAACCAACAUCUCUACCAAACCCAAGAAAUUACCAUUGCUAUCUUCAUACAACUUGCCAUUAGUACCACAUAAUGCUAGAUUAUGCUUGGCAAGAAAUUUUACAAUGCAAACAAUUCUGAAUAAUACCUUUCUCCAAUGGUCCUUCUCUUUCCCAAGUUGUCGUUGAGCUGCUUUAUCAAUAGUUUGAUGUUUUUCCAAUCUAAUGCGCAACUCAUACCAAUUAGUCAUACUCAAAACAUGAUCCCCACUUGUCUCAUGGUCUUUUAGUCUAUUGGUCAUAUGUGACCAAUCAUUACAACCCUUAUUUGCCAAUUGACCUUUCUGAUGACUUUUUCUAAAUAACUUACAAGCAAAGCAAAAGACUCUAUCAAGUUGUUUAGAAUAGACAAGUCAGUCUCUAUCACAACACUCUCCAUUUGAUAGAAAUCUAGUAUAGAAUAUUGCGGUAAACCUUUUACGAUAUCUAUCUUUAGGACCUUUCUUAAUUGAAUUGUCUCUUUUUGAACCCUUUUGUGCUAAGAUAUCAAUCUGUUUAGAACCAAGAGAAUCCCGGUUUCUUGGAUCAAAUAUAUCAGACUUAGAAAAAUCAUCAACAUCCUCACGAGGUGAACUAUUCAAGUUAACAUCAAUAUGAUCCUCUACUUCCAUAUUAUCUGUCUCUGUCUGACCAUCUCUAGCAUCAUUGUAAGGAACAAUUGCAAGGGUAGAAGGAUCAACAGACUGAUUACUGGAUGACACUUGCGGUGCUUCUUUUCUAACAAAUUUGUCCAUGCCGCCUUUAUAAGAUUUAUUAAUUAAAUUUUGUUCUUCCGCUUUUCUCUUGCGCUUAUAGGCACCAAACUGAUGUUUCCCCAUGAUGAUUCAAAUCUAUAUUAUUGAAACACAAGAUCAAAAAGAUGAAUACAAUGAAAUUGAAGUUAUAUAGUAGCAUAUAUCAAUUGGAGAUCAUGCAUCAAUGUUUGGAACUUAGACGAACUGUCUAACUCACCUAGUUUUGUGUCCUGCACGGAUGAACUGGGAUCAAUCCGACGAGACGACAAGUCUCGGCGGCGGCCUAAAUCGGAUCGCGGGAUCGACUGAUAAGCAGAUGAAGUGAUCAGUCAUGAUGCGAACGAGAAGGCGACGAGCCGACGAGAUAUUCUUUUCUUACCGAAAUAGAGACGGGAGCGCUACUCGUACUGUCGUACAUGCGCACGCACGGCAUCAACGGUAGAGACGACGCGUAUCCUUCCGUUCUGUGCGAUCACGUCUACAGAAGUAUAGAUCGAUGGGGGAAGACGUCUACAGAUCGAUCAUCGAUGGGAUCAUGCAGACCUUCGUCGUGCGCACCUGCGUCCUGGGAUCAUCGAUGGGGGAAGAUGUGUGCACCUGGCGGCUGGCGCUGGCGAUCACGUUUCGUAGAUGGAGUCACGGAGGCCUGCGCGCCUGACCUACAGGCUACAAGCCACAGGCCCAGGUCGCUCUAGCGAGGCAACGUCCUGCUGGUCCAUGCACCCACCGCCCAGCGGACAGCUGGCUUGAGGCGACCACGGCGCGGAGACGAGCCACCAGCCACGACGCCCACGAAGCCACGACGCCCAAUCGUUUUCUUUAUACAACUAUAUGCUAUAUUAUAUAUAUAUUUUGGGGCCCCCAAAAUCGUGGGCCCUGUGCGGGCUGCACAUGUGACACCACUGUGGGCCCGGGCCUGAGUAUUGUGAUAACAAGAAGGUGUUGCCACGCUUCUCCACUUUGUCCAGUCGGUUGAGCAUAGAAGUUAUAUGAUGGUUCUAACUGUCCUGUGCAUGACAAUUAGUUAGUUUCACCCAAGUCAUAUGACAUAUUACCUGUAAUAGUAAUCCUAGUAGUAUAAAUACUUCUAUAAGAAAGUAGUAUAAAUAGUAAGCGCUUCUCCACAUCUAAGCUGUACAGCUCCACUGAUGUUGAGGAUUAAGUUGAUACAUAUGUUUCUUUAUAAUUAAGAGAGUAUGAGAUGCAAUGCGGUGAUGGUUGCUUUACAAUGCCCGUUCCGUCCCAAAAUAAAUGCUUUAACCUUAGUUUAAUUUUUUGCUACAGCUAGUAUAAAGAUGAAACAGUUAUUUUGAAACAGAUGAGUAUAAAGAAGGGGGAACCUUUUUUCGUCAAGAGAGUAUGAGAUAUUGGGGUAUACCAAAUGAUAGAAGGUUUAAGGUUUCAAUUGUCUCUGUGGCAGCACUAAUGUCUCCUCUUCCUGCUAGUAUUUCUUUUUCUGGUAGACAUGUGUAGCCACAAUGCAUCAGACCGGAAGCUAUUAAGUCGCUUUGCACCAUCCACGUCUGGACGCUUUGGAUAGGAGUGUCACGACCAAGGACGCGGUGGUGCUGUGCUGCGAUGUUUCUUUCACUGGAUGUAGUUGAAAUGGUGAUUUUUUUCUCGAUGUAGCGUGUACUGCAAUAUAUAUCAUACUCUGUUCCAACAAAUCUCAGUGUGAUUUAUUAUUCUGCUUUGACCAAUGCGCGCUAGCAUUAUCCACUUGUUAGGAUUUUUUUGACAUUUCAAAAUUUAUUUUCCAUGGGCAGGAGCACGUGCUCCUGGAAGCCGAAUUGCAUCUCCGCAAUGAGUUGUACUUAUAUCUUUGUUGGUAGUAUUAUUUGCAAUAAGCUGUAGUACUUAUUUGCAAAGGCGAUAUGUAACUGUGUAUUGCAAACUCCUGUAACUAAUAGUCAAGUAUUGUGAUAACAAAAAGGUAUUGCCACGCUUCUGCACUUAUCAAGCAAGCUUGUCUACCAGUCGCUUGAGCAUCGAAGUUAUAUGAUGGUUCUAACUGUCCUGAUCUGCAUGGCAGUUAGUUAGUUUCACCCAAGUCAUAUGACAUAUUACCUGUAAUACUAAUCCUAGUAGUAAUACUUCUGUAAGAAAGUAGUAUAAAUAAGCGCUUCGCCACAUCUAAGCUGUACAGCUCCAGUGAUGUUAAGGAUUAAGUUGAUACAUACUCCUAUGUUUCUCCAUAUUUAAGAGAGUAUGAGAUGUAAUGCGGGGAUGGUUGCUUUAUACUACUCCCUUCACGUCAAAAUAAGUAUCGUAAAUUUAAUAAUGUAUAAAUUUUAUAUUAGAACAGCAACACUUAUUUUAAACCAGAGGGAGCAAUGUAAAGUGGGGGGACCUUUUUUCGUCUAGAGUAUGAGAUAUUGGGUAUACCAAAUGGUAGUCGCUUUGCACCAUCCACGUCUGGAAGCUUUGGCUAGGAGUGUCACGACCAAGGACGCGGUGCUGCUGUGUGCUGUCCAUGUUGACGGGCCAUCCUCGAGUUGUCCGCAAAUCCGCUCGCCUCGAGUUGUCCGCAAAUCCGCUCGCCUCGAGUUGCCCCUUCCAAGCAAAUCUGGUCGCAAUUGCUAGUCAUCGACGUCCUCCGAGCGGCGUGUGGAUGGCCACAUAUUGUUGUUUCUUGCUCGUCUACGGCAGAGGCUACAUCGAUGAUCGUUAAUGGUGAAGUUGGAGUCGCCCUCGCAGAGGUGUGAUGACGAUGACGCUGGAUUACAACCUUGACGGAGCUCUUCCCCUUGGCGGUGUGUGUGCAUUUUUGUGUAGGUUUUCAGAUCGCCUUGUGACGGUUUUAGCCCGAUUUUUCGAUUAUUAACCGGGCAAUUCUCUUCGACUUUUUUUUAAUGAGAUCGAUACCUAAGGAACCGUGUUUUAAAAAAUAAAGUGGUAAAGCUUUUUGGAGUCGGUAAUCAUUUCAGUUGGUCACGGCAUG
rnacentral:lncRNA from 1 species